UGGGAAGUCACCAACGUUAAGCCUCACAGCC
rnacentral:piRNA from 1 species